UACCUUUUUUGUUAUUUAUUUUCCUUGAUACGUUUAUUGAUGAGUUACCAAGAGUUUCACAUAGGUUUUCCAUAUCUGAUAAGCCAGAUUUAUUGUUAUGUAAAUUUGGAAUUGUUUUUUCUUUUCCCUGAAAAAUACUUUUGCUUGCUGUGAAGGGAAAACUCCAUUGAUGAUAAUAUACUUGUUCCCCUAAUCUCUUGAGUUACUGACAGCUUGUUUUGGUAUUAGGACAGUAGCUUCUUAAUACUACUGAAGUACUAAAGUAAAAAAAGUUAAGUAAUCUCAACUCAUGAUUUUUCUGUCCUGUGUGAUAGAAUGAGUGCUCAAAAUGUAGCCACAUCUGACUCAUUUUUUUAAUAGGAAUAUAGGAAAUAAAGUGGAACAGAAGAAAUUAAAAUGUAAAUGAUUUACAUACCAGUAUUUUCAGUAAAUGCUGACUAUAAAUUGGUAUACUAAUAGAUACAUUAUUCUAAUCUGUUAAUCUUUUGUUCUGUCUUCUGCAAAUCUGCAUUUAUUCAUUUCCAUUUUGAAUGCUUCUUGCUAUUGGACAUGUAUUUGAAAGAGCUUAAUUGACUGUUGCCUAAAGCUGAUUGAACUGAAAGAGAUACAUUUGCACUGAUUUUUAUUUUUUUUUAGGGCUUUGGAUGUUUCAAGUUUCUGGUUACAUUUUUUAUAGUACAGUUAACUUGCACAUUCUGGUGUAAAAAAUACUGUAAUAAAUUGGACUGUAUGUCUUCAUUUGAACAGGAACAGACCUAUUACUCUUUCUUAUUCCAAGUACUCUUGCACCAUCAAAAAUAUUAAACAAGAAAUACCUUUCUGCAAAGUAUUGUGCUCUUUGCAAGUACAGUGGUAUCAUGACCUGUUUCUCAUUUAGUCUAGUUUGCCACAUUUAAUUGCUAUUAACCUUUGCAGAAACUGAUCAGUGUUCAGACAGGCAUGAUUUUAGCCCUGGUGCUCAGCACCUAUAAUGGAGAAAAAUGUAUUUCUCCCUCCUACCUUUUGCUCCCAAUGUCCAUUACUGUGAAUAAUUAGAGAACCUGUCAGAGCUUUUGCAGCCUGUUCAAGAUCUCGAAUGUGAGCUUAAUGCUGUCCCCACCUUUACUUCACAUUUUGCGUAUUUAAUCUGAUCAUUCUUGACGUAGCUAUUACAUCUGACAAGCUCUUCUCUUCUUUAGUCAUCUGCUGCAGUUUAAUUAGCAGGGUGUUUUCUCUGAUCUAUGUGCUUUGCCCUCUUGCAAACCCAAGAGAAACAGUGCUAGAAUCUUGUGCUCGUUUGCAGAAACAGCUUGGAUUUUUGUAAUGAGGUGGAAUAUAACAGGCUUAAAUAAAGUUCAGCUUGAGAAAAGGUGCCUUUAAAUCAAAUAACUUGUAUCUUUAUUUUUAUUUGCAAUUGAGAAUCAGUUGCUUGUUCCUUACCUAAAAGGACUGUAUGCAUAGUGUAGAAAUUUAUAUGAAAAUGAGAAGCUGCAGGAAUUUUUCUAGGGAGGCUUAGUAAUAUGCCAAAGAUAAAACAGUUCUGAGGCAGGGUGUAAAUAAAUAACCAGGAAAAACUUCCACGUAUGUAAGUGAUUCCUUAUAAAGAAGAGUCUGUCAUUUGUGCAGAAGAAACAGCAAAUAUAAAAUGAUAAAUAUGAAGAGAUUACCGUUUCUUGGGCUGUUUUUUAAAAUAAGAUAUUUAAGAUGCUGUUCUCUGCAUUUUUUCAACCAGUGGGAUGUAGAGCCUUUUGCUGGAGGAGGAUUUCCUCCCAGAAGAAAAGCACUGGUAGGCUUGCUGCUUUGUUUAAAAUGCUACAAUUGUAUGGACUUCUGCUGUCCUCCUGUCCACAUUCUUUUUAUUAGUUUAAGAAAUUAGUUUAAGAAAGUUUUUAUUAGUUUAAGAAAUUAAGGGUGUUGUAGCCACUUCCACCAUAAUUGUAAUUAUGAAAGCAGUACUUGAGACAUAAUUGAUUGGUUUCAGUAAAACUAAUCAAGUUGCACUUACUUCUGACAGUUUAAUAUCUGGCUUUCCCUUCUUCCCCUAGUGGCAAAUCCUAUUUUUACCAUGCUCUGGUGUGUAAUACUGUAUUUAUCUUUAUGAUUCACUUAAUCUGUGGAACUCAUUGUGGCAGUUUUUUAAAGAGCCAGAGGUACACUCCAGUGAUAAUGGUUAAAUCAUGAUGUUAAAGACAUCCUUUAUAAUUCGUUCACAUAAUUAUUCAGACUUCUAGUUGAGUGGGCCUGGCACUUGUUCUGCUGCAGGAUCACAAUGACAGCCUGUGGGUCCAUGGUACCAGUCUUUUUCCUAAGGACCUGAGACUGUGUACCCACUGUGUUAUAUCACUGCAGGGCACUGUAGGGCUCUCAGACUAUGUGCAGCCAUGUCCAUGUCCCUCAUCAUCAGUCUGGACUGCCAGAAAGGUGGCUUUGGAUCUACAAAAAGGGCAGAUUAAACUUGUUUCUUUCUCAAAAUAUGGAAUGUGGGCUUUCAUCAAAAGAACUUUCAUCAAAAGAACCUCAUAGUAUCGAAGUAAGCUGAUGCUGUAUGUUAUACAGCAUAGGCAAGAGCCACUGAGGCACUGAGGCUUGGUGUCUCAGGUGUCUCUGUAAAGCAGCUUCAAAAACCAAUGAAUAUUUGUCUUUGAGCUGUCAGAGAUAGUUCUUGAACUCAGAAUCUCUGUUUUCCCUGAGUUAGCUCAGGGUGCUGCGUGAGAUUUUUUAGUUCUUGGUGACUGUAUAGUGUUUACUGUAACUUGCAAUUAGAAUAGUUGAGAAGUCCUCUCAGAGUAAGAUAAAGUUCUCAUGGUUCCUGUUUGGCCAUACUGUGGUUACACAGUAAUCUCUGUAACAUCUCUGUGAGGUCAGCUCAACAGAGAGACAUUUGCAUUCUUCUUGUGUGGGUUAGGCAUCCCAAAAGGUUAAGAACUGAUCCCUGUGACUUUGCCAAGAGCAGAAGUACACUGAAGAGACAGAUGUUCUGUAUCCUAACAGGAAUAGAGCCAAGAUGUACAAAAGCAAAACUUAUGCUACAGAAAUUACAGAGUGAAGGUAAAUUUCAUCUGGGUUUGUGUUUGGUAACAAAAUGCAUAUUGAGAUAAAAAAAACAAAAA